rnacentral:rRNA from 1 species
AGAGUUUGAUCCUGGCUCAGAUCGAACGCUGGCGGCGUGGCCAAAGCAUGCAAGUCGAACGCGAAAGUUUCCUUCGGGAAGCGAGUAGAGUGGCGAAAGGGCGAGUAAUGCAUGGGUAACGUACCUCAAGCUCAGGGAUAGCCGUGGGAAACUGCGGGUAAUACCUGAUGAGACCACAGUGUCAUAUGACACCGUGAUCAAAGACGGGGACCUCUUCGGAGGCCUGUCGGCUGGAGAGCGGCCCAUGUCUCAUCAGUUAGUUGGUAGGGUAACGGCCUACCAAGACUAUGACGAGUACCGGGGCUGAGAGGUUGACCCGGCGCAUUGGGACUGAGACACUGCCCAGACUCCUACGGGAGGCUGCAGCAACGAAUAUUCCGCAAUGGGCGAAAGCCUGACGGAGCGACGCCGCGUGUAGGAGUAAGCUCUUCGGAGUGUAAACUACUGUCAGGGGUUACCAAGUGAAGGGAGCUAAUAUCUCCCCGAGUUGAGGAGCCCCAGAGGAAGUCACGGCUAACUUCGUGCCAGCAGCCGCGGUAAGACGAAGGUGGCAAGCGUUGUUCGGAAUUACUGGGCUUAAAGAGUAUGUAGGCGGCCUGUCAAGCGUCUUGUGAAAUCCCUCGGCUUAACCGAGGAAUGGCGAGGCGAACUGUCAGGCUUGAGGCAGGUAGAGGUGUACGGAACUCUUGAUGGAGCGGUGGAAUGCGUAGAUAUCAAGAGGAACACCUGAGGCGAAAGCGGUGCACUGGGCCUGUCCUGACGCUGAGAUACGAAAGCCAGGGGAGCGAACGGGAUUAGAUACCCCGGUAGUCCUGGCCCUAAACGAUGUCCACUAGGCUGGAGAUUCUCUGACGAAGUUCCAGCCGGAACGAAAGUAUUAAGUGGACCGCCUGGGGAGUACGGUCGCAAGGCUAAAACUCAAAGGAAUUGACGGGGGCUCACACAAGCGGUGGAGCAUGUUGCUUAAUUCGAUCCAACGCGAAGAACCUUAUCCUGGGCUUGACAUGUUUGGAUGCCUACUGAGAGAUCAGGUCGGCUGCCCUUCGGGGUGAAACUUACACAGGUGCUGCAUGGCUGUCGUCAGCUCGUGUCGUGAGGUGUUGGGUUAAGUCCCGUAACGAGCGAAACCCUUAUCGUUAGUUGCCAGCGCGUUAUGGCGGGGACUCUAACGAGACUGCCGGUGUUAAACCGGAGGAAGGUGGGGAUGACGUCAAGUCCUCGUGGCCUUUAUGCCCAGGGCUGCAAACGUGCUACAAUGGCUGGUACAAACCGACGCUAAUCCGCGAGGACACGCAAAUCGGAAAAAGCCAGCCCCAGUUCGGAUUACAGUCUGCAACUCGACUGUAUGAAGUUGGAAUCGCUAGUAAUCGCGUAUCAGCGUGACGCGGUGAAUGUGUUCCUGAGCCUUGUACACACCGCCCGUCAAGUCAUGGAAGCUGGGAGCGCCCGAAGUCGGCACAAUUCAGUGCUGCCGAAGGUGAGCUUGGUAACUGGGACUAAGUCGUAACAAGGUA